UACUAGAGUAGCACUCCAUAUCAAUAAGCGGAGGAAAAGAAACUAACAAGGAUUCCCCUAGUAACGGCGAGUGAAGCGGGAAGAGCUCAAAUUUGAAAUCUUAAAGGGUUUCCCUUUACGAAUUGUAGUUUAAAGAAGUGUUUUCUGUUGAGGUUUUGGUAAAAGUUCUUUGGAAUAGGACAUCAUAGAGGGUGAGAAUCCCGUAUUUGACCUUUACUUUCAACUUUGUGAUACACUUUCAAAGAGUCGGAUUGUUUGGGAAUGCAGUCCGAAAAUGGGUGGUAAAUUUCAUCUAAAGCUAAAUAUUGGCGAGAGACCGAUAGCGAACAAGUACCGUGAGGGAAAGAUGAAAAGAACUUUUGAAAAGAGAGUUAAACAGUACGUGAAAUUGUCAAAAGGGAAGCGUUUGACACCAGUGUUGUUUUUCUGAAAAUCAAUUAAAGAACUGUUUAUGCUAAGUUGUUUAGACUUUAUCAGCUAAUCUGUUUAGUUUUAGGCUUUUCUUUAAUGCACUUUUCAGUUAACAAGUCAACAUCAAUUUCUUUUGCUGUAAAAAAGCUUGAGGAAGGUGGCUUGAGAUUCGUCUUAAGUGUUUAUAGCCUCUUGCCUAUGCAGUCGGAGAGAUUGAGGUCUGCAGCGUAGAUCCUUCGGGGCUAAAUGCAUUUGUGCUAAGUUAUAGCAUUUUAUAGACAACUUGUUGACUAUGAUUUGUCUUGUAGCUUACUCGCUUAUGUUAUUUUACCUACGCUUAGGAUGUUGAGCGCAUGUCUCUCUCU
rnacentral:rRNA from 1 species